rnacentral:rRNA from 1 species
UACGUAGGGUGCAAGCGUUGUCCGGAAUUAUUGGGCGUAAAGAGCUCGUAGGCGGUCUGUCACGUCGGCUGUGAAAACCCGAGGCUCAACCUCGGGCCUGCAGUCGAUACGGGCAAACUAGAGUACUGCAGGGGAGACUGGAAUUCCUGGUGUAGCGGUGAAAUGCGCAGAUAUCAGGAGGAACACCGGUGGCGAAGGCGGAUCUCUGGGCCUUGCCUGACGCUGAGGCGCGAAAGCUAGGGGAGCGAACAGG